rnacentral:tRNA from 1 species
AAAAUAUUAAGUUAAAAAAACUGUUAGCCUUCAAAGCUUAAAAUGGGAAUCUCAUAUUUUA